UCUUCCAACCUCAGCUGCCCUGUGAUUCUGUGACUUCAGGUCUUCUGUGCACACUGUACUGAGAACACCGCUGCCAGCAUACCAGGAUGCGUGCUCCUGUGCGUGGACUUUCAGCCCCAUAAACCUGAAGCCUGUCGUGCAGCCCUGGUUUUUCGGGCUGCUCCUCCAGCGGGGAGUGGCAACAAUAAGUUUCUUCCCCAUUUCAUGUAAGCUGCUGUUUGGAGAGACAAUCGUUUUCAAAACAGGGUCAAGGCAGCAAAUAGCAACUGGUAAAAGGGAUGAUGGGGAGAAAAUGGAGGAAAAUACACCAGCGUUUUGUCAACAGGGCAGAUCUUUUUUUCUCUACUGCAAAAACUUGCACCUCUCCCUUCGAAAAUUGUAUAUUUGUGCAUUUGAAAGAGAGAAUUGAAUGUUUUUUCACAGUCCCAUAGCAGUACAUUUCCCCCGAAUGUUCUGGGGAAUUAAUGGUGUUAGAUUUUUCCGAGCACUAGAGAGCUGGCUUCAGUUCACUGAGUCCCUGCUUUUACACAUCCCUGUCUGAUCAGGGAGAGACAGCAAAGGCAAAGCCCAACGACUUGAAAAUGCUGAGUGUGCAGCGCUGGGUACAACCAGCUGGAGGGUCCUCAGCUCACCUCUGCUUGUGGGGCAGCAAGAAGACAGGCUGCCCUUGUCAGCUCCGUGCAGCCCAUCCCUUCGCAGGGGAAAGGCUGGCUGCUCUGCAACAAGAAGGUUGGCUGUUCUGCUUGGAAGUCAGGGACUGAUCGCUUCGUCUCCAUCGAGAGCUUAGAGCACUGCCAUGAACACUAUGAGGGAGGUACUGGGAGCAGCAAAACAAUGAUGCGACCAAACCACCCAAGGUCCUGUUCUAAGAGGAGAUUUCAACUCCAGGGAAGAGCAAGGUCUCUCUCAUUUCCUUAAUGGAGGAGGGGUCUCAUAAUCACGACUUAAGUUAAAUUCAGUAAAUCUACCUUUGGGUCCAGUUUCCUCCUUGACUGCCAAACCUCUCAAGUCCCUCCCGUGUCACAGUACCCACGGGUAGCAUAUCCCUAAUCCGAGAAGCACCUGGAGCUGAGUUCUCCCAUCUGAGGCAGAAGAUCCCCACACACGUGCGGUUCAGUCUGGUGCAAGUCUCAGCACAGCAGCUGGUGCUGAACGGAUGAAAGGACAAAAAAGGAGCGGUGAAGGGACCAUCAAUCCCAUGCAGCAUAGGACAGAGCCCUUCGCAUCCUGGAGACAGGAGGAAGGCAACACAGCCUUUGCAGUCCAAGGAUCGCUCUUCCCUCCCUCCCUCCUUACCAACCUAGCCUAACUCCCAGUGUCACUGGUCACCUCCUGAGAAGAAGAAGCUGGGAUGGAGGGAGAUACUGCAGGCUGUACCAGUGUAUGUACGUCUCUAACCACACGGCUGAUGCAAAGAAUGCGUAGCAUCAUUCUCUUCUCACCCAGCUUUCAAAGACCAGGACUUAGGAGCUUGUGUACAUCGCUCCUCCCUCUUCCAACAAAGAGCAUUUAGGGAGGUUUUUACCUGAAAGAUGCUGGAAUAGGACACAGAGAUCUCUGCAAGCUUUCCCAAGGUCUCAGCUCACCACUGAUUGCAGCAGUCAGUCAAAGCAAGCUUUUCAAGGCUAAACAAUAUUUUCUAGACAACUUUUGCCCAUUGACCUGUGCAGCCCUGCCACUGGAAGCACUCUCAUCUCGUUAAAGAAUAUGCCGUGCUGUACAUGAAAAAAAGUAAAAAACAUCCAUUUGCCUCAUGGUUCCUUAUUGCUGGCACAAACAGUGAAAGCAGUUCCUCUGUCUCUGCAUGCAGGAUAAUGAAGGAGACUGAAGCAGACAUAGCAAGGACAUAUAGCUAGUUAUAAAAGAUUCCCUGAAGCCCCUCACAACAGGCAUUCCUGGAUUCCUGAGGUGAAAGAAGGACACAAUAUGGACCACCUUGAGAUAAAGAUCUGAUCAUGUGAAGAACCUUAACCGCAGAGCAAAGGAGCACUCGUGCAAGUGUAAAAAGAUCCCCACCUCUUGUCCAAGCUCCAACAUGCAGCGGAAGGAGGCAGAGAAAGGGAGGCCAUAGUUGCAGCUCCUCACAUUUGCUAAGAGAAAGGGGCAUGACUGUGAAAGCAUUCCCUGGUUCAACCCUUUGAAAGCAGCAGGGAUUGCGACGAGGGGCGCAGCAUAAUGGAGACCCAAGGUAACCAGAGAAAUGUCUGCAGUGUAGAGCACAGAAUGCAGGCUUAAGUGAAAAAAAUGGGUCUGCACCUAGCCCUACUGUUUCUGGGUAUGCACAGGUUGAGUCACAGAUGCAGCGAGCACAGCAAUAGCUCAUGCAAGAUCUAGUAUUCAUCUCUAAGACUGCUGUUUUGCAAGACCUCCUGUUAAAGAUGCAGUCAUAUCGUCCUUGCCCCUCUUGGGUCUGUUAUCUUAAGGGAAACUAAUGAAGCAGAAGUGAUUCUCAGCAGCGGCCAGAAUGAAUGACACUCCUUUUCCAAUCAAAAAGUUGCUCAGAAAACCACGGGGGUGCAUUGAUAGCAUCAGACUCAUCCUCCUUGGCUCUUCUGUGUUUGCCAGGCAUAAAUGUGGAAAGACUUACAUGACGUCUAAAGAAAUGAUGGUUAAAGAUGGAGAGUGUAUGUAUGCCCACCACCUGCCCUCAGAAAUACAAUUCAGCAACACUGAAGGGACUUUGCUCUGCUUUAGCUCUGACUCCUUCAUGAGGCUCACCUGUGAAAUCUGACUGCCAAAGUCCAAGAUCUUCCCUGAAGGUGUGAGUUCCUAAAAAGGGCUGCGAAGACGAAGGAUGUCUGGAAUACCCAGCAGCAGUCUUGGAAGACCUGUGCUACCCUUCAGGAAAUGCCAAAUAAAUGGGUGUACGCAGGUCUGAAUGAAUGGACACGUGCUUCACUGUAGGCCAACAAGUUCCCACUCACCCUGUGGUAUCCCACUCACACCAUAUUCCCCUGCACUAUGCACAACAUUUGUGAAUUCUGGGUGAAUUUCUCUCGCCCCUGAAUAAAAUAAGCACAAGAUAAAAGCAAGAGCCAUGUUUGAGGAAAACCAGAUAUGUGAUAGCCUAACCCAGACCCAAGCGAGAGCACCUUCCCCUCUGGUGCACAGUGUUGUGUCACUGCAGCAACAUCAGCUCUAAUGGUCCGAAAACUCACGAGGUUGGCAGCAGCCCAUUCUGGCCUUUCACUGGUUUUGGUGGCCUUGGUGUAGUGUGUAGACAGUGCCGGGAGCCGGGGGGCUUACAGACCAGCAAGUUUACUUUCCUCAGACUCUGAUGAAGCCUGGAAGGAAGACAGUGGGCACCUUAGCUCCUGGAGAUGCCAGCCCUGGCUGUGGCUCCGCACACUGCCACCAGCUGACUUCUAGCACAUGCUCCUGGUCUCUUCAUGUGCUGGCAUCUUCACCACGUCCUUACUUUUGCUUUCUCUUGCUCAAAAAGCAGAAAAUUAAUACACUGGGGGGGAGGGGGAAUGGACUUGAGCAGAACAGGCUCAUAAAAAGCAUGUGGUGUGGGACAAAUGGAGCACAAAUGGAUGGUGGUCACAUCCCAGCAGGACGCAGAGGGAACUGGUGUCCCUGUGGCAGAGCUGAGAUCCCCUCAGCUCACCCGGGCACCACGCAGGAGGUGCAGCUGUGCCAGCAACCAGCCUGCACUGCAGGGAGCAGGAGGAGCUGUGAACCAGACCUUGCCUCCUUCACUGUGAGUAAGCAUGCACAUCUCCAGCAGGGGCUGCGAGCAUCACUGGGCCCGCUGCACCAGCCCAGGGAGGAGUCUGGACUACAUAAAGGCCAGAUGUGAGAUGGGUCUGUAACCUAAGCAGGAUGUUCAGGGGCAGGAAAUCCCGCUUAGCAUGCCUGGCUCCUGCAUGACACGCUCCAGGCGUGCCAGCCUUCUGCUCCUUCCCAGUCCCAAGGGACUAGCAAACCCCAAGGCAUAUGCCAUCUGCUGCCCCGCAACUCCAUCACGUCACACGCGCAACAUGUAACACCAGAUCUGCACACAGGAGAGGAGAGAUGACACCAUAAGGGCAUGUGAGCCAGAACCUCCAUUCACUCAUGCGCUGGCUGCCAGGCAGGACCUUCAUUUUUUAUCUCCCAGGUGCACACAGCAGAACGGUCAGCCUCCAGGACCCAGCCACCACGCCGAAGGGCUGAGCGUGCAUAUCUGCUUCUGGAGCUGGGACUUUUUUCUGCCAUCCACCCUGACUCAGCAAAGUGCCAGUGACCAUUUUCCCAGGACUUCAUGUGAGGGGAAGGGCCGAGCAAUCCCCCAAUGGGUGCUGACUAUUUUCUUUCAUCCCAAGCACAUUUCUUUCUCUGAAUAUGCAAACAGGAGACAAGGCAGCCCAGCUCCGUGCUGAAAUACCGAAGCAUGGCACGAGCUGUCUGUUCCCAGGACAGACACAUGAUGCACAUUACAAAAGCGCAGGGAAAACCAGGCUGAGCAGAGUGCUCCAGCCUCCUCCACGAGCACUUCAGUUCAGCUCAUGUUUCUCAGCAGCAGCAACACACAUGGCAGAAAAAGCCAUCAGUGCCAGGCACUGCAGUCUGAACCAGUGCCGGGCAACUUGAGAAUUCAGUGGCCAGUGCUAGGGAACAGGACUAAGGGCACGUGGCUUAAAAAAUCCUUAAAGCUUCAGCGUGGAGAUGAGGAGGGAAGCUGCGAUAACAGGCACUGAUUAAAACCUAGCAAUGACCACGGAGCUACAGCUGAUCAUGAUCUGGGCUGGGGCAGACUAACAGAGCAGGAACAGAAAAUAAAUGUUGUGGUUUCAUCUGCAGCAAGCCUGUGUGCAGCAGUGCUUCAUCUGCCCCUAUGGCCACGCUGUUCCUUCUGCAGGACGCCUGCCAUCUUCCUUUCAUGCAGUUUACAACUGAAAUACUUAACAGCCAUAUGAAGAGUUGCAAUUCUUCACACCCAACGCAAAAGGGUGGGAUCACAUAAUGCUACUGCAGAGCAAUCUGCUUCAUUAUGGCACCAUGCUGCAAGCCAAGCUGAUUAGCCACAGCCAUCACAGCUGCCAGUGACAGGUCAGAACGGCUCCUGUCAAACAUAGCACUGCUCAGAGCCAUUAUCAGAAGUGGUCCAAGAGGAGGUGAAUGACAGAAGUCUGAGUUUGCUUGGCUGAUGUAACAUGUGAGUUUAAGCCUUCUGCUACGUCCCCAUGAAAACAAGCAGGCUCUAUUCCCCUCAGACUGAAAGCUGCACGGAACUGCAAAAUGGAUGCGCAGAGGGAAGGCACAACCCAGGCGUAGAGCUGAACGAGAGAGGAACGGGUCUGAUGGGAUCAGACCUUCAGAAGCAGAGGUUACAACAUACCGUGGAAAGGGAAGGAAGGAGACGGAGGUACAAAAGCCCUGAAAGGAAGGGAAGAGGGCAUCCAGAGAACUCACAGCAAAUGGAUGAACAAGUCCAGAGGGCAGAAGAAACAUCUCAUUUGGCCGGGACCACCUGGGUCUGUGUCAGUGUCAAUUCUGGAAGGGCCCUGGGCUUAGAAAAUUUUUCAAGCUAACCAGGCUGAGACCACUUGUGAGCUGAGGCCGGCUGCCUGCAACAUAACUGGCCCGGGCAUUUUUUCAGGGAAGCCUGGCUCCAGGCUGCCCCGAAACAACCUGAAGCCAGCGGGCACAGAAAACGUUUCAGAGCAGCUUGGCACAGAAAUUCCCUGGGGGUGUGUUCCAGGGCCUCCGGGCACAAAAAGGCUUUUCCUGAAUGGGGUGAGACACACAGCUGGUGAAGGGCGUUGCUGCUGAUAACCAGAUGCUAUCUCCAGUGUGCCUGCCCGGGCGCAAAGCACUGUGUCACUGCCAGGAGAAGGCAUGCAGACUUUGUUUUACUGCUGUCGUCAAAACCACGUUGGCUUUUUCAGCCCUCCUCACCCAAAAUGCCCGCUUCAUCCCGCUCUUCGCUACCAGUGGAGCGUCACGUUAGAUCAAGGAUCCCUCACAAGACUGUGCUGCAAUCCCGGUGCUGAAGCAGGGCGCGUGAAGGCUGCGUGAGCUGCAGAAGCAGCGCUCAGUUCCGCCCAUGCUGGCUUUCAAGGCUGAAUAGCAGCUUGUACGGUCUAGCAGAAUGCUGCCCAGAACCACUGACUUUCAGAAUGCUCAACUUGUAUGGCACCGGUAAUGUCUUAUCCCUGCCAACCUCAUCAUUUUUAGGGAACAUUUCUAAAGCCAAAAAAUAAAUUAUAUAUUAUAAUAAACGGUGAGAACACCGUUCACAAGUAUCCGAGGAGAGUGCCACAAGAGAACCAGGCCUCCAACGGCGUGCAAAUAAACAGACUGAAACUGACACAAGGAUUGAUGGCCAAAAGUCUCCAGAGAAGAGGUUCGUCCACUUUUCAGCCCUGUUUCAGCUGUCCACAAAACAAAACUUUGGCGUGCAUUCAGCUCCAGGUAAUGAAACCAAACAAAGCGAGAAUCACCGGCCUUCCCCAGAUCUGCUUAGAUCCAUGGUCUUCCCUGGCUGCUUUCCUUCUACCAGCUCAGUUUCAUUCCGCUCAUCCUCCUCCUGCCAAAUCCUCGCUCCUCCCUUUCCCGUCAUCUUCACAUUUAGCCCUCCCCAUCCAAAAAAUGAAUUAUGUAACUUGCUUCCAAAAGAAGAGAGGAGUCACCCUGGGAGACACAGCAAAGCCGUGGCUCUGCCAAGGCUAGUCGGCUAACGGCAGUUUGCUAACACACGGGGACAGAGGACAAGAUCAGGACAGACAUGAAAUCAGCUCCAUCUGCCCCACACCGCAUAUCACGCGGAGUACGGGACCCAGGAGGGACAAGGCCACUCCAAAUACGCCAGGGCGUGCAGGAAGGAAUCAGCGAAAUGCAUGACUUUAAAUAAAGUCAUUAAUAUAUCAUGGAACGCUGCUGGUUUUCUGCCUGAGAGCCAGCUACGCGCACUGUGAAUUUCAUGGCGUGACUGCGUACCGAGCGGGCUGUACAGAGGAGCUCCAUAGAAGCACCCACCCUCCUCCCUCCACGCUGCCCCCCAGCAGGUUUACACUGCAGCCAGAAGACAUCUGCCUCCUGCUCUCAUGCAGUCCGUGCUCAGGCACAAGGUCUGGCUCUCCGAGGCCCCACGUGAAGAGGUGCUGAGCCCUGCUCAGAGCACCCUGCAGGUGCCAGGGCAGUGGAGGGACCGAGGGCACAGCCGGGUACAGCCCCGCAGGUGUGGGGUCAGCGGGCACAGCGUUUCUUACACCACCCACAGAAAACAUCUCUCCGCAGGGUGCUGCACUCCAGCAAGACUCAGAAGCCUUCCAGGAGAUAGCUAGAGAGACCGAACAAGCUGACCAGGUCGCGGGUCCACCCAGCUAGGCUGGGAUUGUUUCCGCACAAGCAAGAGAAGGAUUCUACAAACACCAGGCCAUUGCAUUUACUCUGAAUAACGUUACCAACGCUUGUCCCACAGAGCAAAGACCUCUCUGCAGCGCACCUAUUCCAGCAGACCCUGCCCCUGCUGUUAAGCAGCAGCGCUCCAAGGACAGGCUGGAGAAACACUGCGUAGAGAAGCUUCUUACUUUCUGAUGGCUUUACAGCUUUCAACCUCACACUGGUCCACAUGCAUUUCUCACCUCUUCUAGCCCUAAGCAGAGAAGCGGCUGUCGGCUGCAACCCUGGCAGGAGUGCAGUGAUGGCUAAACGAGCAAGCGUCAAGAAAGGUGUCUGCCUGUGCUCGUCUGGAGUGCCAGUGUCUUGGAACAGAGCUGGGUUUCAGUUUUCAGUCCUUUGUGUCCUUCUUUGCCACCAGCUUUCAUGACAAUGAAAAGCGCUCCAGUAGAAAAGGAAGUGGGAAAACAUGCCCCUGUUGUUAAACCAAGCACUGUAGUCAGUUUUCUGCCAGUAACGCAUACUCUUCCCUGAAGGGUUUUGGAAGACAGGACAGCAUCCCUCAUGCAAGCACAGAUCAGGCUCAGGCAUGAGCAGUCAGCCCCUUGGAGCAGGAGCUGCUCCAGCCACCCUACCCUGUGCAGCCUUUGUUCUCAGGUGAUCUCACCAGAGCAGCCAGCUCUUCACAGCUCACCACGCUCCUCUCUCCCCUUCCAUGAGCAGCAGCAAUAGGGACAGUACUGUCACAGCUCUUAGUGAACAGCUCCCCUGUUCCAAGCAAAGCUGUCCCCAGCGACUGCAUGGCUGUGGCUUUCUCCAGCACUGCCUUGCUGGAGAGAGACCGCUCACUCUCCUGGAGCCCUGCACAGGGUGACCCCCCCCAUGCACCUGAGACCUUCAGUCUUCUGCUUACAGUUCUUCAUGCAUGGCCUGAGAAGAGGCAGAGCAGGACGUUCUUCCAGAACCACUCACCUCCAGCCCUCAGCGACACGCACCAGCAGCCCGGGGAAAGCCUGCUGGGUUGUGCUUGUAAGUCACUUAAUGACAGGGUCACUAAUGAUACAGACCUGCUCGUAAGUACCACAUCCUAUGUGCCACCAGGCAGGUGGAGAGGCAGUCCAUGCUUUGUAGGCUGCAAGAAAACUCGAGGAAAUCCCUCAAAAUACCAAGGAAGCUACUGUGCUGUCAGACUGUUGCAAGAGCAGGUGGAGGCUUCGCAAAAGCACUCCUUUGCUCCACUGACUUUGGACCAUUCUCAUCUCAUCCCAUUAGCAGCUAUUGCUUCCUCAUGAUAAAGGUCUCUAUCAUAGAUGUGAAUGCUCCUCUCUCCUGCCGGUGACACUCGUUUAUAAUAAGCUCUUUCCAAGAAAUUGCACAUUAUUAAAUCUCAGCAGAGUCCUCAUACAGCCACCCAGACCCUGUGCUCAAAGGGUCACACUAUCCCUUUGCAUUUUAAGUUCUCCUUAUCUUCAGGUACAGAAGGCUCUGGGUAAAGCUGUGUGACGUGCAGCUGGCGGCAGGGAAGAAGUAUUGCUAGGAACCAACCACAAGUUUAACACGUUAUCUUUUCCCCAGCAACAGCAGCCAGUGGCAUUGCAUGAGUACCUUGAAUCUUCCAUUCCUCUGGUUCUGAUUCCUCUCUGAUUCCACAGAAACGGGCAGGUGCCAUGGCAAAUCACCAGCUUCCAACUCCCCUCUUAAAGUCAGCGUAAUUGUUUUCUUUUGUCCAGAGAAGGCAGAAAGUCCAAACGUUAACUGCAACUCUGUUUUUGCUCAGAAAGCAGAUCUACGCACAAAUGACAAAGCUUGCUGGACAGGAGCGAGGAGCAAGGUAGGUAAAGCAGUUAAGCCCUUGCAGGUGGCACGGACGUAUUAAAGAACACCGUACUGGAAGCAAGGGAAGUUGAAGUUGUAGCACAAAGGCAUGAAGAAGGAUCAUGGGAAGCACAGCCCCUUCAGCCUGACUUUCAUCACACAGCUAAGACACAAGAAGGAACUUCUUACUGGGAGUUGUCCAGCAGUCAAACCGGCUGCCCAAAGAGGCUGAGGAGUCUGUGCCCCCAUCCUCAAAACCCAGUCAGACCAUGCCCUGAGCAUCGUGCUGCAGGCAGCCCUGCCCUCAGCUGGGGUCCGAGCACCCAUCUCCAUCUUUGGCCAUACUGCAACUCUCUGAAAUCUGCACGCUGAUCUCUAGGGAUACAGAGUGAAAGCAGACCAGAAAUUUCUACGUGCAUUCACCGUAAAGAAAAUGUGUUCCUGGACACUGUCUGGAGGGGACUCAUCAGAUCAGCAGCGCUCGGGAGGGAACAUGAGCUGUGACAACUCAACCAGGUGACUGAAAGCAACAAAAAUAGCUGAACUGCAGUGCGUCCUCAUUUAAAUCCAGCUUCAUGAGAUUAGAAGGAAAGCGAUGCUAGGUUUUCAGGGAAGGCCGGGAAAAGGAAAAAGGAGAUCAAAGAAGUGAAAAAGAACAAAGCUGGUGGAAACGCAGAAAAAAGGUGAGAUAGAGGGAGAGUCACCAUAGCUUUUGUAAAGCCCAGCCAGGCCUCACAUGCCAAACUGUGCCAACAAACAUCAAAAUCUCUGCGUGCUCAGGUUUCCAGCGCUCGGUACCGUCCCACACCAGAACAAGGAAGCAGCACGAGGUUAGACAGAAGGUCCUUACAUUGAUGGGAUUUGUGUAAAAUGGGAAGUUCCUGCUUUUUGAGUGCUGCAGGCUCGAGUUCAAGAUAGACUCUCACCACCCUCACUGUACGCCUGCAUCUCUCCCAGGAAGGAUACGUUUGUGGAAAUCAGGCAGAUCCUCGCAGUUCUUGGGAGCACAGCUCAAUCUUCCCAUUCAUUUCUUUACCUCCUUCCCUGAGAACCUGUUUCUGAAAUCCUCCAGUGACAGAGCAGCAGCUUCCUACAAAGCUUACCAGUUCUCAGCUGCCUUGAAUAUUACGGAGCUUUCAAAGCUACAUCUCCUUUUGUGCAAACAUCUCCCUUGCUUCUUCUCCUAUUCAGCCACCUCACUGGAAAAAGUGUUUCCUUCCUCAAGCAGCAAGCUUUCCUAUGCAUCUGACACACAGCUUUUCAGUCCUCCCCAGACAGACCUCAUUCUCUCGCCAUUGCCCACGUUUUCUCAACAGCUGAUGAAUUUUGUUUUCCUUGCUUCUGCUUUCUCCCAGCAGAUCCAUAUUUUUCCAGAGCAGGUGCACCUACAGCUAGCAUAUUUCUGAUUUACUAACCUGGGUGAACAUGUGCUUUCUUCAUCAUUUACCAGAUUCUUUCCUGAUGGUGUUUAUCAGUUUCUUGCUGCAGCAUGUCACCGUGUUCUGCUCAGUAUGGGAUGAACCACAGCCCCUGGAUGCUUUUCUUCAGGACUGCUCUGAGCCUGCCUGCAUCAUGUCAUCCAGAGACAAGAACCUGUCACUGCUGAGAUGCAUCCUAUUUUUCCCAUGCUGUACCUGCAGCUCAUCAAGGCAAUCUCAAACCAGAGCCUUGCCUUCUGCAGGCUUCCUGCUCCUCUUGGUUCCUGUUUAUUAUUCUUCCUUUGUCCUAACACUAACAAAAAUAUCAAACAGCUUCAGGUGACAGGGAGAACCCUGCAAAGCUUUUCUCAAUGAGUUCUCCCAUUUUGAUAAUCAGCUGUUACUCAUGCAGCCACAGAAGCUGCUAUAUAGCUCCUCUGCCAGAUUUACAUGUCUCUUACCAUAGACAAGUGUAUAUAGUGCAUGUUCCCUCAUCUUGAUUACAUGCAGCAGCACUGAACAUUGGUCUAAAGUCAAGAUAAAUAACAUGCCCUGCUUUUACACUGUGCACUGGGCUUACCACCCUUCAUGAGAGCAAAUUAGAGUGGGUUGACAUGGUUAGAUUGCCAUGCUCAUUCUGCUUCUUCUGUUCACUGUCCCUCCCAGAUGUUCCACUUUUUCAUGUUGUUCUGACAUUCUUGCUAUGUAGAGGCUUACAGUUCCCUUUGUCUAGAGCUAGGGUCUCUCCUCCACUGUCUCUAGUGUCCUCAAAGACAUCCUGUUCCUGGUGUGGAUCCUGCAGAUGACACUGAGCACGGUCUCCACACACUAGCCCUGAACACAGCCUAGCCUCAGUCUACCCCAUCGGAGCCCACAUUCCAAUUUUUCCCUUCCUAUUGUUGCAGAGGAAUUUAGCCAGGUUUGGACGGGUUCUGUGUUUGUCCCACCAAGAAGCCAAUAUUGUCAGCAGCUGUGAGCCCUGCCAGGCAGAACCAAGCUGACAGGGUGACAGCAGGGCAUGCCAGAGCUGAUGGGCAGCAGUUCACUAGCUGAGCAACCAGCAGAUGGACAGGACUGCACGUGGGACAGCAAAGCACUUGCCGUUCGUGGCAGCCUGACCGAGAGAGGUGCAAGUUCUCCAUUACUUGCAUGCUUUUUUUCUCAUGGGUCUUUGGAAACUGUUUUUUUCCUAAUACAUGAGACCGAGCUCCAGGUCCAGCACACCAAACAUCUGCGUCACCAGCAGUUUCACAACAGCAGAUCAAUCUUCUCCGCUGCAGGGGGAGAACUCAAGUCCCAUCUGUGACUGGAGAUCUGGAGCAACCCCCAGGAGUUCAGAUUACAGAACAGCGAGCCAGGACUCCUGUCAUAACACGUCUUCUCAGCGCUACAAAAAAUCUUGCUGCUCCCACCACAGAGAGCCAAGGCUGCAGUGACAUGCAGGAGAGGCUGCAUUACACCUCUGCCUGCGCUGGGUUUUGCGACUUCUGGGAACCCAAGUCAAUCACGCAGCAAUCUGAAGCCCUAAAUACCAUCCAUACGUGUCUUUUAAAACACCACUAGAAACCUAGGGGCUACACAUUUAUUGUCAUGAGAGCAAUAAACUGCACAGAUAAAACAGUUCUCACUUCCCGGUUCACAGCUCAGUUUCACCUAACGCGGGGCAAGGAGGGGCAGUUUCCUUUCCUGCAGCCCUGCCUGGAUGGGCAUUGCCCUGGGGAUGUCCCCAGAUGGGAGCCCAGACCAGCACACCUUGGCUCGGGAGGGAUCAGCACGGUUUGGGCUGUCACUUGGCGGCCAGGUGGUCACUGACACAGGAAAGAGCUGCAGGACGAGACGUGUUCCCAGCAUGGCUUUCUGCAACUGUUGUCAGGGUCCACCGCUGGGAAGCAAACCCACCUUGCUGACUGCUGCAAGGCCUCCCCCAGAGCAGACGUGGUGCGUGCAGUACAAGCACUGCUUGUCUUUGACUCCUAGGCUUGCAGUGCAAUACAGAGCUGCUUCUGAAAGAGGUGUCUGCUACCUGCAGCUCAGAAGGGGCUGUGCAGGGGCUCCAGGCACAAGCAGUUGUGCCCCUUCCCACAAGAAGGGCACCUGGAUCUCGGAGCGUGGCCCUGCUGAGGUCCCCCAACACACAGCACAGCACAGGACAGAUGGUGUGUCCUGUGGCUCUGCUGCAGCUGGAGGUGGGUACCCCAGCAUCCACGCUCACUAGUGGGAAUUCGCACAGAUAAAACUAAUGCAUAUGCAUUUGUGGAGCUCCGUGCAGAGCUCCAUUACCGCAAACGCUCAGCUUUCAAAGCCUGCCUUGGCAUGCAUGCCCCACCUCAGACACUUGAGCCCCUUCAGGGGAGCAGCUUAAGCUCUGUGCCACGAGAAAGCUAAGCUACAGGUGAAGCCUCACGAACAGGGCCAGCCCGGCUAGAAGUUUUAUAUGAACAAUGCGUUCCAAAAAAAUUGAAAUUAAAAAAUCAGCAGGUCGUUGUUUGUAAACAAAGAUGGAGGAGGAGAGCCAUUAGCUAAGUGAUCUGACAUUCCUCAAUUCGCUUUAUCAAUCUCCAUAUUCAUAAAAAAAAA